rnacentral:rRNA from 1 species
UACGUAGGGUGCUAGCGUUGUCCGGAUUUAUUGGGCGUAAAGGGCUCGUAGGCGGUCUGUCACGUCGGGAGUGAAAACCCAGGGCUCAACCCUGGGCCUGCUUCCGAUACGGGCAGACUAGAGGUAUGCAGGGGAGAAUGGAAUUCCUGGUGUAGCGGUGAAAUGCGCAGAUAUCAGGAGGAACACCGGUGGCGAAGGCGGUUCUCUGGGCAUUGCCUGACGCUGAGGAGCGAAAGUGUGGGGAGCGAACAGG